rnacentral:rRNA from 1 species
GUGAGGAAUUUUGCGCAAUGGGGGCAACCCUGACGCAGCGACGCCGCGUGGAGGACGAAGUCUUUCGGGAUGUAAACUCCUGUCAGUGGGGACGAUAAUGACGGUACCCACAGAGGAAGCACCGGCUAACUCCGUGCCAGCAGCCGCGGUAAGACGGAGGGUGCAAGCGUUGUUCGGAAUUACUGGGCGUAAAGCGUAUGUAGGCGGCAAGUUAAGUUCAAUGUUAAAGCCCACGGCUCAACCGAGGAGAUGCAUUGAAUACUGGCUAACUAGAGGGUGUUAGAGGAAGACGGAAUUCCCAGUGUAGCGGUGAAAUGCGUAGAUAUUGGGAGGAACAUCGGUAGCGAAAGCGGUCUUCUGGGACAUACCUGACGCUGAGGUACGAAAGCGUGGGGAGCAAACGGGAUUAGAAACCCCGGUAGUCC